AAUUGAAUCAGAGAGCGUUUUUCUCGUAUACCGACCUGUUCUUUAGCGCUCAAGGCUUGGAGCAUCACGUAUUCAUCCCUAAAGAUAUGGAUUCAUCUGGUAAACCAACCUGUUCUCUCAGCAUCACGGAUUCAUCCCUAAACAUAUGGAUUCAUCUGGUAAACCAACCUGUUCUCUCGCCCUAGGGCUUACAGUAUUCAAGUAUUGUUUCUGGAUCUUUUUUCUCCACAAUUGUGUGUUUGUAUGAUGACGAUGAAGAAUUUUGAUUACUUCUGAAGAAAAUAUCUGCGUUCUUGACCAUUUCGAGCAGUAGUGCCCGGAGAUAGGAGUUGUUCCCAGUCAUAUUUAUCAGAGCUAAGUUCUAAGAGAAAAGAGAAGGAAUAUCAGCUUGACGAUGACAGUGUUUGUUACGGUUUCGAAAUUCUGAGAAUCUGGAUCAGUAUCUCAAUUUCAUUUCAAAGAUGGCUUUGAUUCACACCGUUCUGAAAAAGAUUUUCCAUCCGAAAAAGAGAAAAAAAAAAAAGAAAAAAAAAAAAACAAAACAAAACAGAGUGUUUAUCAAAAGAAAUGCCUCGAUCAAGGGUAGAUGUGUUGAAUUUUCUGGAUCGCCUCCUGAAGUUCUAGAAUCACCAAGAUCGCGUGAGUUCUACCAGGAAAAGCCUCGCCAUUAUCGGCCACUUAUUGCUAUGAAUUCGAUUUGUAGCCAACAGCCUCUCUACGAAGGUCGGGGUUGGAGAGAUAUUUCCCAUGAUAGGAGUUUAUAUACAAUUUGGAGUUUCAAUUCAGGCUUCUUGUCAAGUGUGCGGGAAUUUCUUGAACCCCUCGUUUGAGAUAUUCUGCAUCCACACCAUUAAUUUGGCUUCAAAGGUUUGGAGUCCCAACAUCUGGGAGUAGAUUAUAUGAGAAUUUGAUUAUUUAGUGUCAAUGGUAAAUAUAUGUAUCUUGAAGGGCUUCCCAAUGGUAGGCCAUUGGAAGCCGUGAAAAGGUAUAUAUUUGAAGCUUUGUUGCCAUUGUGUCGUCGACCUUUGCCAUGACAGGUGCGCUUGCUUGGCAGGUCAAAGUGCUUCAAUAAAAAGUUCCAUUUUCGAGUGUUCGGGGGAGGGGAUGGCACGGUGCCCUUUUAUCCGGCUCCCCUCUCCCAAUCUCUCUCUCUCUCUCCCCCUCCCUCUCCCUCUCUCCCUGUCUCUCUUUCUUCGGUUCUUUCUGUAGUUUUGCUCAGUCUUUGCACGUCCACUAUUACAAAGAGCCGUGUGCGCAGCAAAAACUAAAUCGACGGUGAGAUUCCACCCUCUUCGAGGUACGAAUUUCGAAUUAUAUCCAUUUUCUAAAGUCGUUAUGGUCUAAUUGCAUCGACCCAUCUCGAGCUGUCAAUAUGGCAAAUUUGAAAUCAUACCAUUUACUGAACUCGUUAUUGUCUAUAUGCACGAUUGCGUUUCUCACUGCCAAGCAUUGCCAAACUACAUUUUUAGCUAAAUUCCGCAACUUUCAUUAUGGAAGAAUCAUAUCUGACGUUCUUAUCAACUGUUCUACAAAUUAUAUGCAAUCUGAUCCAUUUCUUUAUGUGACGUUUAUGCGUUCCACUUUCUUCUAGCAUGUUUAGCCAACGUCGAAAGAUGAUUUGCAAUGGCCUUUUAAUUCGGAUGUUCUUUGAUUUUGUACAUAAACUCUAAGCUCCAAACAGACUUUACUCUACAUUUCUCAAGUGAGACAGCUUAGCCGCUUUCUUGGCUCUCUGGAGCUGAACAACUGCAGCUUGAGUUCUUGCAAAAGGAGAAGGAUGGCUCAGGCCACUGCUAGGCCAGUAGGGGAGUAAUUGUAAUGCAUACGGCUAGAUAGGGAUAGGGAAUUAAAUGUAACUAGUGAAACUUUAAUUUAUAUCAGGUCUCAUCUGAAUCUACCCAUCUAUCCUCCUGAGGAGAAGUUUGGAGUACUUCAUGCUAGUGUGCCUUGUAUAAUCUACAUCUGAGAAUCAGUUGCUGAUGAGCACAUUGAACUAUUCACGUAGCUAAGAGCCCUCACAAGGAGGCCAUUAAAUUAUUAGCGCCAGCUUAGUUUUGUACCUAGGGUCAUUUUAUACUUUAUAGAUUGUAAUUAAUGUAACUAAUUCCUACUUCCCACAGCCCUAACCUAAGGUAAUUAUAAGGUAGGGGCUCCCUUUUGUAAACACAUCUUUUGGGAAUAAAAUAACUUCCUUUUUUUUUU